rnacentral:rRNA from 1 species
CCUACGGGAGGCAGCAGUGAGGAAUAUUGGUCAAUGGGCGUAAGCCUGAACCAGCCAAGUCGCGUGAGGGAUGAAGGUUCUAUGGAUCGUAAACCUCUUUUAUAAGGGAAUAAAGUGUGGGACGUGUCCUGUUUUGUAUGUACCUUAUGAAUAAGGAUCGGCUAACUCCGUGCCAGCAGCCGCGGUAAUACGGAGGAUCCGAGCGUUAUCCGGAUUUAUUGGGUUUAAGGGGUGCGUAGGCGGCCUUUUAAGUAAGCGGUGAAAGUCUGUGGCUCAACCAUAGAAUUGCCGUUGAAACUGGGAGGCUUGAGUAUGUUUGAGGCAGGCGGAAGGCGUGGUGUAGCGGUGAAAUGCUUAGAUAUCACGCAGAACCCCGAUUGCGAAGGCAGCCUGCCAAGCCAUGACUGACGCUGAUGCACGAAAGCGUGGGGAUCAAACAGGAUUAGAUACCCUAGUAGUC